rnacentral:rRNA from 1 species
CGAAAGCCUGACGGAGCAAGACCGCGUGAGGGAGGAAGGCUCUUGGGUUGUAAACCUCUUUUCUCAGGGAAGAAAAAAAUGACGGUACCUGAGGAAUCAGCCUCGGCUAACUCCGUGCCAGCAGCCGCGGUAAGACGGAGGAGGCAAGCGUUAUCCGGAAUUAUUGGGCGUAAAGCGUCCGUAGGUGGUUAUUCAAGUCUGCUGUCAAAACCCAGGGCUUAACUCUGGAUCGGCAGUGGAAACUGAGUGACUAGAGAGCGGCAGGGGCAGAGGGAAUUCCCGGUGUAGCGGUGAAAUGCGUAGAGAUCGGGAAGAACACCGGUGGCGAAAGCGCUCUGCUGGGCCGCGACUGACACUCAGGGACGAAAGCUAGGGGAGCG